AUCCACAAAGGACAAAAACGUCGGCGACGGGCGAGGAGGAAGAAACCAGUCGCGUGUGACAAACACACUAUUGUAUAGUUUUAUACACACACACACACACACACACCUUUGUGUGAAUUGAUUUGCUGUCUCGCGAUCAUAGGAUGAACAUUAGAGCCCCGGUCGCAUGUACGCUGGUUUGUUGCUGUUGUGUGAGAUUUUUUUUAAAUAUUUGACACACAAGACUGAGUUAUUAUUCAUUAAUGUCAGUGAAAUGCUUUGAUUCACAAACAGUUUCGUGUUGAAACGAAUAGUGAAUCACAGCAAACCCGUGUAAGUUACGACUAUCGGCCUCUGUUUGACGCUUUAUUGUUACAGUGCAACGUUACAUGUGCAUGAUCUGAUCUGUUAUUUAGUCUGAUCUGUUAUUUAAUCUGAUUUGUGUAACGUUAAACCUCGAAAAUAAUGCUGUAAGAUUCUCCUGGAUAAACUGGGAUUCUGAGGCAAAAAUAUAGAAAUAUAAGGUUUAGAACCAUAAAUUCCUUCACGAUGUGUUCAAUUGUGGUAGAAAUGACAUUCCUAUUACAUCAGGAUGUUUGUAAUAUCAUCCAUGUAGUUGCCAGUGGGCGUGUUAUUGUGACGUAAGAACGCCUUCGUGUUUCUGUGGCCUUUGUUUGGCGAUUAUUGGUCAUAUUUUAAGACAUUAAUUGACUUUUUAGAAUGCUUAUUUAUAAGUUAUAGUUUAAAGACCGCGUUUGACCUGUUUGAUUGGUGCAUGCUGUUCGUAUUGGUCUGUACACAUGCGUCUGACCGCAUCGCUUAGGCCCAUGCGUCGCGUCUUGCGCUUUUCAAGCGUUGCGUUAGGUUAAACUAAUUCAAAAGUACUCAUGACCUGAAGCCGAGGGGUCAGUACUCACAGUUCCAUUCAUUUUGUGGCUCACAUGAAAGUACUCUGGUAACACCAUGAAUUUGGGAUGCAUAUACCAUGAUAUUCCUUUAAAGACCCUGUACUACCACGUAUAACGUAAUAAAUGAAUACAGUAAUUCUUUCCAUACCGUUGUAUGUCUGGUGUAGUACUAUGGUAUUUGACAUCACACCAUCUUGGUAGUGUGUGUUGGGAAUGGCUUGCUAAUGAGUAAGACGGUGUUGUGACAUUGCAAGAGCAAACAAAUAAAAGUAGUGUAAGCUUUAUAAUAUCUAUAUUUAGAAUACAUUG